AUCCAAGUGCAAGGGUUUGAUCUCUCACCGUGAAGAUUCGUCUGAGUGGAGAUUUUUGCUAGUUGAAAACUAUAAACCGACCAGCUUCUCGUGGGCUUCGGCCUGCGAGAGAAUUUUUGGCCCAUUUUUCCUCCUGGCAGGAU
rnacentral:snRNA from 1 species